rnacentral:lncRNA from 7 species
AAUGGAUAGGAGGGGGGUGAGCAGUGAGGCUCCUCUGUCUGGCACAGAGCAGUUUGAAACCCAUCAAAAGCAGCAUCUGCAGUUGCUAAGAGAUUGAGUUGUGCUACAGCAUCCUGAUGAAUGAGGGAGCGGCCUCCUGGGCCAGGAGGGAAGACAUGGGUCUGUAAAGGACAUAUUAUAAAUAUAUAUAUAUUAUACAUACCGUAUGGAGAGAGGUCAUGAAUCUCACCCCCCUCUGGCUUUGGAUGGACACCUCUUCAAUAUUCUGUAAUGUAGCUUUGACUCGGUGCUGGACGCGACCAGAAAGCUCCAGCACUCCUCCAGAAACUGGCAAUGACACCAAUAAAAGAAUGAGCAUCAUU